CGACGCUUUCCGAGGUCGAGGGAGUCUGGUUCCCUACGGUCGACCCUCGGGGCAUCCCGACCUUAGUCGAGGGAUCGCUCGCUUCGGGGAUCGGGGAUCGUCGACCGCUCCCGGGGGUCCAUUUUGUGGCGCCCCGGGUGGAGCCACCCUUUCCACCCCUCACGGCGCCUUCCCGAGGUCGAGGGAGUCUGGUUCUCUACGGUCGAGCCUCGAGGCAUCCCGAUUUUGGUCGGAGGAUCUGAGGAUCACAGACGACCCAAUAUUAGAAGAGGAUUACAGUCAUCAAAAUGAGAGAAAUAUUUGCAGAAAAAGGAGCUGAGUCCAUUAUCCUGAUUAUCUUGAACCCCUUGGAGUUUCACUGGUAGUACAUUCGUAAAUUCUCGGAGUUCCAGCUUCGUGGGAUCAGAGUCCCUUCCAGGGACUUCAAUUUGUACGCCCCUGGCCGUUGUACCCGGGCGAUUUGAUACGGUCCUUCCCAGUUUGGGGCGAGCUUUCCUUGCUCGGUUGGUUGAGAAGCCUCGGCUUUCCUGA
rnacentral:lncRNA from 1 species